AAUGGGUGAGUAACACGUGCUUAAUCUACCCUUUAGAUUGGAAUACCCAAUGGAAACAUUGGCUAAUGCCGGAUACGCAUGGAAUCGCAUGAUUCCGUUGUGAAAGGAGCCUUUAAAGCUCCGCUAGAGGAUGAGGGUGCGGAACAUUAGUUAGUUGGUAGGGUAAUGGCCUACCAAGACUAUGAUGUUUAGCCGGGUCGAGAGACUGAACGGCCACAUUGGGACUGAGAUACGGCCCAAACUCCUACGGGAGGCAGCAGUAGGGAAUAUUCCACAAUGAGCGAAAGCUUGAUGGAGCGACACAGCGUGCACGAUGAAGGUCUUCGGAUUGUAAAGUGCUGUUAUAGGGAAAGAACACCUGGUUGAGGAAAUGCUUCCAGGCUGACGGUACCCUGUCAGAAAGCGAUGGCUAACUAUGUGCCAGCAGCCGCGGUAAUACAUAGGUCGCAAGCGUUAUCCGGAAUUAUUGGGCGUAAAGCGUUCGUAGGCUGUUUAUUAAGUCUGGAGUCAAAUCCCAGGGCUCAACCCUGGCUCGCUUUGGAUACUGGUAAACUAGAGUUAGAUAGAGGUAAGCGGAAUUCCAUGUGAAGCGGUGAAAUGCGUAGAUAUAUGGAAGAACACCAAAGGCGAAGGCAGCUUACUGGGUCUAUACUGACGCUGAGGGACGAAAGCGUGGGGAGCAAACAGGAUUAGAUACCCUGGUAGUCCACGCCGUAAACGAUGAUCAUUAGUCGGUGGAGAGUUCACUGACGCAGCUAACGCAUUAAAUGAUCCGCCUGAGUAGUAUGCUCGCAAGAGUGAAACUUAAAGGAAUUGACGGGGACCCGCACAAGCGGUGGAGCAUGUGGUUUAAUUUGAAGAUACGCGGAGAACCUUACCCACUCUUGACAUCCUUCGCAAUGCUAUAGAGAUAUAGCGGAGGUUAACGGAGUGACAGAUGGUGCA
rnacentral:rRNA from 1 species